AAAUAAUUUGCCAGCGGUCAGUUUAUCAAAUCAAACAAAAGUGGCGGCAAAUAAUUGUUGCAUCGGCACUGAGAGUGCUCCUAGAACAAAACAAAUUGGGGAAACAGCUGAGCUAGAGAAUCAUGGCCAUCCAUUGAGAGUUCUGCCUGACUUUGCUCAAGUAUACAGCUUUAUUGGCAGUGUCUUUGAUCCAAAUGCUACCAAUCAUCUGUAUAGACUUAAAAAAAUGGACACUAUAGAUGUUGAGAC
rnacentral:misc_RNA from 1 species